AUGACGGCUGCGGGAGAGAGCAUUUAGUAGCCACCGAAGGAGCAAGCUUCAAAAAUACCCUUGAAGCCAAUCUCUCAGGUAGACAGAACCGCAGUCGGACG
rnacentral:ncRNA from 2 species